CGUUGCGGGCGCUGAGGGCUCCGUCCUGCCGGCUGCACCAUAGGGCGCGGUCCCCGCUCUGGAGGAUGUAAUGGUCCUGGGCCUGGAAGAGCUCCAUGGCGGCCGGGCGCGCGGAGCAGGUGGGACUCGCCAUGUCGGGCUCGGGGCGGGGGGGGAGAUCCGGCUUCCUGCGCUCAGCUCCCACACCGCACUGACAGCUCCCGCCCAGAUGGUACAUUCCGAGACACGCCCCCUCU